rnacentral:rRNA from 1 species
GCAUAUCAAUAAGCGCGGAGGAAAAGAAACCAACCGGGAUUGCCUCAGUAACGGCGAGUGAAGCGGCAAAAGCUCAAAUUUGAAAUCCUUCGGGAGUUGUAAUUUGUAGAGGGGUGCCUUUGGGGCGGCAUUGUCUAUGUUCCUUGGAACAGGACGUCACAGAGGGUGAGAAUCCCGUGCGAUGAUGCCUCAACCAGUACAAGACCCUCUCGACGAGUCGAGUUGUUUGGGAAUA